rfam:Colletotrichum higginsianum, IMI 349063, WGS project CACQ02000000 data, contig: cont1.1067
ACAUACGACCAUACCCACUGGAGAACUCGGGAUCCCGUCCGCUCUCCCAUAGAUAAGCCAGUGAGGGCCGGAUUAGUAGUUGGGUCGGUGACGACCAGCGAGUACCUGGUGUUGUAUGUG